UACGGAGGGUGCGAGCGUUAAUCGGAAUUACUGGGCGUAAAGCGCGCGUAGGCGGCGUGAUAAGCCGGUUGUGAAAGCCCCGGGCUCAACCCGGGAACGGCAUACGGAACUGUCAAGCUAGAGAACAGGAGAGGAAGGUAGAAUUCCCGGUGUAGCGGUGAAAUGCGUAGAGAUCGGGAGGAAUACCAGUGGCGAAGGCGGCCUUCUGGACUGAUACUGACACUGAGGUGCGAAAGCUUGGGGAGCAAACAGG
rnacentral:misc_RNA from 1 species